CCCAGGGUGGUGUAAUAGUAGCAUCCCUAGUUGACACAUGGUUGAAGGGGUUCGUGUAGUAAACCAUGCCCUUCGGGGGCCAGGGGAUCCGGGUUCAAAUCUCGGUCCUGGGA